rnacentral:rRNA from 1 species
UACGAAGGGGGCUAGCGUUGUUCGGAAUUACUGGGCGUAAAGCGCACGUAGGCGGGGCGUUAAGUCAGGGGUGAAAUCCCGGAGCUCAACUCCGGAACUGCCUUUGAUACUGGCGAUCUAGAGGUCGAGAGAGGUGAGUGGAAUUCCGAGUGUAGAGGUGAAAUUCGUAGAUAUUCGGAAGAACACCAGUGGCGAAGGCGGCUCACUGGCUCGAUACUGACGCUGAGGUGCGAAAGCGUGGGGAGCAAACAGG